rnacentral:tRNA from 1 species
GGCUCCAUAGUGUAAUGGUUAGCACGUCUGCUUGACACGCAGGAAGUCCUGGUUUCAUGACCCAGGUGGAGUCA